UUCUUUUUCCCUUAUUCUCAAUCCUACUUUCAGUGGACCAACAAAAGCAGAUCAAAAUCAAGCGGCGACUUCAAAUUAUAUAUCCACUCUUUUUCUCAUGCUAACAUCUAUAAAUACCACCCCUAUACUUUCCACUCAAAAGCAACUUCAUAUCCAUCAAUCCUCAUCACUCUCAAUCCAGCGCCUCCUCAAUUACCACUCUCUUUUUUGAGCUAUAAUUAGCUGAUAAAUAGUAAAGAAAUUAACUAAGAUGGAGGCCAUGCAAUCUUGGGUUUCUGAACACAAACUCACCAGCAUUGGAUGCACGCGCAAGCUUUAACAUUAGCAGUGUUAUCGGGAGCGGCAGUUUAUCUUACUAUGACAAAAAUAGCAACGAGCAAUAAGUCCACAAGUAAAAUGCUCCGCUACCACCAACAGCAUCGCUACAUGAAAUAAUCUAUCAGUCUAAUUAAUCAGCUCUUCAUUUUGAAGGAAUAACUCUUAGCUACUUGUAGGAGUAAUAUAUUAUGAGACAAACAUUGAAUUUUCGAAGACGCUGUGCCAAAUAUAUGGAAAGUUGGAGCUUGUCUUUCUGUUUAGUUCAAAAUUGUAUUCUGGAUUAUCAAAUACUUUCUAUCCAUGGUUGAACGAGAUCAUAUUCUUUUUUA